rnacentral:rRNA from 1 species
GGGCCCGCACAAGCGGUGGAGUAUGUGGUUUAAUUCGAUGCAACGCGAAGAACCUUACCAGGGUUUGACAUCCUGCGAAUCUCUUGGAAACGAGAGAGUGCCUUCGGGAACGCAGUGACAGGUGGUGCAUGGCUGUCGUCAGCUCGUGUCGUGAGAUGUUGGGUUAAGUCCCGCAACGAGCGCAACCCUCGUCCUAUGUUGCCAGCACGUAAUGGUGGGAACUCAUGGGAUACUGCCGGGGUCAACUCGGAGGAAGGUGGGGAUGACGUCAAAUCAUCAUGCCCCUUAUGUCUUGGGCUUCACGCAUGCUACAAUGGCCGGUACAGAGGGCUGCAAUACCGCAAGGUGGAGCGAAUCCCAAAAAGCCGGUCUCAGUUCGGAUUGAGGUCUGCAACUCGACCUCAUG